CCUAUGGGAGGCAGCAGUGAGGAAUAUUGGUCAAUGGGCGCAGGCCUGAACCAGCCAAGUCGCGUGAGGGAAGACUGCCCUAUGGGUUGUAAACCUCUUUUAUAAGGGAAGAAUAAUGACUACGUGUAGUCAGAUGCCCGUACCUUAUGAAUAAGCAUCGGCUAACUCCGUGCCAGCAGCCGCGGUAAUACGGAGGAUGCGAGCGUUAUCCGGAUUUAUUGGGUUUAAAGGGUGCGUAGGCGGUAUUUUAAGUUAGUGGUAAAACGUCGGGGCUUCACCUUGAUUGGCCAUUAAAACUGGAGUACUAGAGUACAGACGAGGUAGGCGGAAUUCGUGGUGUAGCGGUGAAAUGCUUAGAUAUCACGAAGAACCCCGAUUGCGAAGGCAGCUUACUAAACUGUGACUGACAUUGAUGCUCGAAAGUGUGGGUAUCAAACAGGAUUAGAUACCCCUGUAGUC
rnacentral:rRNA from 1 species